rnacentral:tRNA from 1 species
GCGAGCCUGGCGGAAUUGGUAGACGCGCUGGAUUUAGGUUCCAGUACCUCAGGGUGUGUCGGUUCGAGUCCGACGGUUCGCA